rnacentral:rRNA from 1 species
AGCGAACGCUGGCGGCAGGCUUAACACAUGCAAGUCGAGCGGGCACUUUCGGGUGUCGGCGGCUGACGGGUGAGUAACGCGGGGGAACGUGCGCGCGGGUUCGGAAUAACUCAGGGGAACUUGAGCUAAUAACGGAUACGCCCAUCGGGGGGGAGGCUUGCGGCCGGGGGGUCGGCCCGCGUCUGAUUGGCGAGUGGGUUGGGUCACGGCUCACCCAGGCGACGAUCAGUAGCUGGGCUGAGAGAGUGCUCAGCUACACUGGGACUGAGACACGGCCCCGACUCCUACGGGAGGCAGCAGUGGGGAAUAUUGGACGAUGGGCGCAAGCCUGAUACAGCCAUGUCGCGUGAGUGAUGAAGGCCUUAGUGUUGUAAAGCUGUUUUAUCCGGGACGAUAAUGACGGUACCGGAGGAAUAAGCCCCGGCUAACUUCGUG